rnacentral:RNase_P_RNA from 1 species
CCAGCCGGCCGGGCAGCCGCUGCCGCCAGUGCCGAAAGGCCGCGGUGGAGGAAAGUCCGGGCUCCAUGGAAACACGAUGCCGGAUAACUUCCGGCCGGGGAAACGGGUUAACCCGCCAACCCGAGGGAAAGUGCCACAGAAAGCAGACCACCGCAGCGUGCUGCGGCAAGGGUGAAAGGGUGGGGUAAGAGCCCACCGCGUCUCCGGCAACGGCGAUGGCAGGGCAAACCCCAUCGGGAGCAAGACCGAAUAGGGACAACGCGCUUCCCCG